rnacentral:rRNA from 1 species
UAGGGAAUAUUGCGCAAUGGACGAAAGUCUGACGCAGCAACGCCGCGUGGGCGAUGAAGUUUUUCGGAAUGUAAAACCCUGUCGGUGGGGAAGAAACGCACGAGUAGUAACUGGCUCGUGCCUGACGGUACCCACAAAGGAAGUCCCGGCUAACUCCGUGCCAGCAGCCGCGGUAAUACGGGGGGGACGAGCGUUGUUCGGGUUUACUGGGCGUAAAGGGCGCGUAGGCGGACCUUCAAGUCGGAUGUGAAACCCCCGGGCUUAACUCGAGGCCUGCAUUUGAUACUGUUGGUCUUGGGUACAGGAGAGGAGAGUGGAAUUCCAGGUGUAGCGGUGAAAUGCGUAGAUAUCUGGAAGGACACCAGUAGCGAAGGCGGCUCUCUGGACUGAUACUGACGCUCAAGCGCGAAGGCUUGGGGAGCAAACAGG